AAACUAACAAGGAUUCCCCUAGUAACGGCGAGUGAAGCGGGAAGAGCUCGAAUUUGAAAUCUGGCCGCCUCCGGUGGUCCGAGUUGUAAUCUGUAGAAGCGUUUUCCGCGCCGGCCCGCGUCCAAGUGCCUUGGAACAGGCUAUCCCAGAGGGUGAGAAUCCCGUGCUUGACGUGGACCGCCGGUGCCCUGCGAUACGCUCUCGACGAGUCGAGUUGUUUGGGAAUGCAGCUCAAAAUGGGUGGUAAAUUCCAUCUAAAGCUAAAUAUUGGCAAGAGACCGAUAGCGAACAAGUACCGUGAGGGAAAGAUGAAAAGCACUUUGGAAAGAGAGUGAAACAGUAUGUGAAAUUGUUGAAAGGGAAACGAUUGAAGUCAGUCGUGUUCUUUGGACUCGACCGGCCCUGCCGGCUCACUUCCAUCGAACGGGGCCAACGUCGGUUUCGUCCGCCGGAGAAGGGCGGGAGGAAGGUAGCACCCCCGGGUGAACUUACAGCCUCCCGUCGGAUGCGGUGGGCGGGACCGAGGAACGCAGCUCGCCCUUGUGGCCGGGGGGUCCGCCCCCACGCACGAGCUUAGGAUGUUGGCAUAAUGGCUUUAAACGAC
rnacentral:rRNA from 1 species